rnacentral:rRNA from 1 species
CGCUAUCACUCCUACGGGGAGGCAGCAGUAGGGAAUCUUCCACAAUGGGCGCAAGCCUGAUGGAGCAACACCGCGUGAGUGAAGAAGGGUUUCGGCUCGUAAAGCUCUGUUGUUAAAGAAGAACACGUAUGAGAGUAACUGUCCAUACGUUGACAGUAUUUAACCAGAAAGUCACGGCUAACUACGUGCCAGCAGCCGCGGUAAUACGUAGGUGGCAAGCGUUAUCCGGAUUUAUUGGGCGUAAAGAGAGUGCAGGCGGUUUUCUAAGUCUGAUGUGAAAGCCUUCGGCUUAACCGGAGAAGUGCAUCGGAAACUGGAUAACUUGAGUGCAGAAGAGGGUAGUGGAACUCCAUGUGUAGCGGUGGAAUGCGUAGAUAUAUGGAAGAACACCAGUGGCGAAGGCGGCUACCUGGUCUGCAACUGACGCUGAGACUCGAAAGCAUGGGUAGCGAACAGGAUUAGAUACCCUGGUAG